GCGUUUUCAACAAUCUUAUUUUUCUGGCUUAGGUCAAAUUAUAAUAAGUAAUAUAAUGAAAAAAUAUAGUGUUUGAUUAGGUACACUGUUUUGAUAUAAUACUAUAAUAUUAUACUUUACUGGGCGUAUUUAAGAAAAUUAAUAGCUUAAGUUCGGUUGUACCUAGCAACGGUAAAAUAAAAAAAAUGAUGCAACUUUAAUAGGAUACUAAUGAUGUUAUUGAGUUUAUUGCACGUGAUGAUUUAGUAAUUGAUUCUGAGGAAAAGAUUUUUGAUUUUAUCAUUGGUUGGAUACGCUUUAAUACAGACGAACGUAAUGACUUGGUACCGUUUCUUAUGAAAUUUUUACGUUUACCUUUAAUUUCAAAAAAAGGACUACAAAGGAUUUAUAAUGAACCAUUAGUGAGAAAUAAUAAUGAUGUUAAGACAGGCAUGUUAGAAAAUAUCAUUAAUACUUACAUAAAUUCAAAACCAUCAUAUACUCAAGGGAGAUGUACUCAAAUUGAAGCAUCAAAUAUUAUUUUUGCAAUUACGGGUCAUUCAAACGGUGGGGGUUCCUAUGUAAAGUAUAUGGAAACGAUAAUGACCUAAGAUGAAAAUCAAGCAAACAUUUACAUUUUUUACCUCCCCGUAAAGCCGCAACGAUGGUAGUCUCUGAAAAUGGGAUAAUACUUGCCAUUGGUGGCAUAAACGAGUCUGGUGAAUUGACCAAUCUUAUAGAUGAGCUUGAUUUUAAGUUAAAAUCAAAACAAUGGGUUUCUACAUGGCCAUUGAAUCAACCACGAACAAAUUUUGCUGUUUGCACUUACAAGCAGUACAUAUAUGUUGUUGGAGGCUAUGAUGACUCAAAUCACAAUUGUUUGACUUCUGUAGAAUACUAUGAUACAAAUUCAAAAGUAUGGACGGAAAUUACUGAACCGAUGCUCACUGCUCGAGCCUUGUGCAGUGCUGUAGUAUUUAAUAAUAAAUUAUACGUUUUUGGUGGACGUACUGAACGUUAUUGUAGUUCUCUUGCAACUGUAGAGUACUAUGAUUUUGAAAAGAAACGCUGGAAACAACUCUAUCCUAUGCCGGUAUGUAAUUUUAGCAUGAGUAUAUCAAAAAUUGAUUACGUCGUUUAUCUCAUUGGUGGUUCUAAUGCAUGCCGUCGACGAGUUUUUAAGUUCGAUUUACAACAUUUCAAAUGUAACGAAAUGCCUAACGUGAACAUGGUUUGCUAUGGAGAUUGCUCAAGUGUUGGUGUCAUGAAAAACGACUUAUUCGUGUUUGUGAAUAAUGGAGGAAUAUUUCAUUGUGAACGAUAUGACAGAGGAAAAAAUCAAUGGCAAUUAGUUGACAGGGCAGGAGAGCAUACAGAUGAAUUUUGUCAUAUGAUUACUUUUAAUGAUAUUGCUCUUAAGUCCUAUGGUAUGUAUUUGUAAUACUAUAUUUUUUAUAUACCGUUUUGUUGUUACUUUGGGAGAACUUCAUUGUGUAAGAUAUGACACAGAAAAAAAAAACAUGGCAUCUAGUUGACAGAGCAAGAGAGUAAAAUCAAAUGAUUUUUGACAAAAUAUUAUUGCUUUUAGUAAUGUUAUGCUGAAAAUA